UUGGUAUCUGCUCUGAGGCACGUGAAGAGA
rnacentral:piRNA from 1 species